CGAGGCUGGCGGGGUGGAGACCCAAUCCCUGCGCUCCCGGAUUUGGGGGCCUGCUCAUCGCUCCUUUGGAAAGUCUAUACUUUCUCCACGUGGUUACCUGCUGCCCUCGCGAUCUAAGACUGGGGUGGGUCGGUGAAGGCGGGGUGGCGAGGUGCGGGGAGGACAUUCACCGCAGGCAUCUCCAAUGGGAGAGUUCUGCCUCCCCCCGCGGAGCCUCCUGCGAUGGGAAUUGUCCCGUCUGCCCCGACUCCCCAAAUUCCCCUCUUUGCUUCUUAUUCCAGCUGAUCUUGAAUGGCUUGAAGCAGGCUCCGGCUAGAGAUUGAGGUCUAGCGGUGGCAGUGAAAGCGCUGAAUCCUAACCACUAGACCACCAGGGACAGUGACAAGGCCUUGGCCCAUCAACUGUAUAGAAAUGAGUUUCCACAUAGAGACGGAAAGUAUUUUUUGGAAGAAAAAGGGAUAGACACACGGGAGGGCCAGAUGGGGGCAUUUCUUCCGGGUUUCCUUUGGCCAAUCAUCUUGCUUUGCCUGGUUCUGAGUCUGUAUUUGGUUUAUUUCAGGGUCCUCCCGUCUGCAGGGGCUUGCCUGGUGGCUCAGACGGAGAAGUCCAUGGACAAAGGAGCCUGGCCGCCUACGGUCCAUGGGACCACAAAGAGUCAGACAGGAUUGAGCAACUAACACUCCCAUCUGUGCCUCAGCUUCUCUUAGCCAAGAGGCCUACGGGCCCAGCGCUUCUCUGGCUUCUCAUCUUGGAGGACCUGCCCACAGGGGACAAACUCUGGCUGUUCAGACUGGGUCCAUCUAUCUCCUGCCUCACAGCCACCUGCCUCCAGCUGCCUCCAGCAUUCACGUCUCUUUCACCAUCUGUUUACUCCUAGUAAAUGGCUGAGCUGUGACUCCAACCCUGGGCUUGGUGGAAAACACUUGGACUGAAGCUUCUGUCUGCAGGAAUUCUCUGGAAUUUAUGUUGUGUCCCCAGGGUAGUGUCUCAGAAGCCCAGGCCUGUUCUUAAGUUGAACAUCUCUGCCACACAAACUCCUGGGGCGACAACCUGGGUGAUGCUACAUUCGAAAUCUGCCCCUCCCCUAAAUUGCAGACAAGAGAAUUAAUCCGAGGUUCACAGUAAGGAUGGGACCAAGACCCAUGUCUCUCUUGACCUCUGCCGUUGCCCUUCACGGUGAUUUUUUUUUUUUUUUUCCUGAUUGCCCUAGAUGGUGUGCACUCAAGGACUGACCUUACACAUCUUAGAGGCAGCCUUCUGAACUGCAGGCCUCCCAUGCAUGCGUGCUAAGUUGCUUCAGUUGUGUCCGCCUCUUUGCAAUACCAUGGACUGUAGCCCACCAGGCUCCUCUAUCCAUAGGAUUCUCCAAGCAGGAAUACCGCAGUGCGUUGCCAUGCCCUCCUCCAGGGGAUCUUUCUGACCCAGGAAUUGAACUUGGGUCUCUUACGUCUGCUGCAUUGGCAGGCGGGUUCUUUACCACUAGCGCCACCUGGGAGGCUACUAGGAAAUCACCAGCAAUCCCAGUUACCCCAGUGCUCAGUCAUCACAGGCACUAUGGAACUGAUAGAAUGUGUCUCUGUACUUAGUACAGUGUAGGUGCUUCUGUCUCGGGGCAGAAAGAAUUCAAUGAGAGGCAGAGAGACAGGUAAGGAAAGAGUUUAUUAGUAUAGGAGGCUUGAAUUCACCCUGAGAAUUUAGUGGGCUGCAGUUUUAUAAUCAAAGAAAAAGUGGGGAGGGGGGGAAAACCACCUUUUUCCUCAUUCUUAAGUAGAUGUCAAGCUUCCAUCAUCAGCUCCUCCUUCAUGUCAGGUGGAGUUUUCAUGUCCCUACCUGGUCCAGCCAGCCCUGUUCUGGCAUAAUGGAAAUGAGCAAAGAGGCGGUAACAUAUGCUAAGAAUAGUAAAUCAUCUCAGGUUUCAGUAUAAUGUCACCCUUUCCUUAUAUUUUUAUUUUUGGUGUGCCCAGAGGAGCAUUUCCUAGGUAUUAUUAACUUACUGAGCUCACUGGACAGGAUAUGGGUCUCGUUUCACCAUCAUUUUUACCGUCUGGGGGCAUGUCUCAGGCUUCUGUUCCAUGGUUUUUGUUGCUAAGCAAGUCUGCUUGGCUUUGUGCUUAAGCAAACCUGCUUUCUUCUUCUUCUUCUUCUUCUUCUUUUUUUUUUUAAUAUUUUUUGGCCCCACUGGGUCUUAGUUUUGGCAUGUGAGAUCUUAGUUCCCCGAUCAGGGAUGGAACCUGUGCCCGCUUCAUGGGGUUCCCUGUGUAGUCCUAUGCAAUCCGAUGGGCCUCCCGACCACCAGGGAAGUCUCAAACCUGCUUUCUCGAAUGAUCAUUGACUUACAGGGGUCUUCCAUACUUUUUUUCUCUACUUACAAUCCCCCAGUGGGAUGAGGGCUCCCCUGGUGACUCAGAUGGUGAAGAAUCUGCCUGCAAUGCCGGAGACCUGGGUUGGAAAGAUCCCCUGGAGGAGGGCAUGGCAAUCCACUCCAGUGUUCUUGCCUGGAGAAUCCCCAUGGACAAAGGAGCCUGGUGGGCUACAGUUCAUGAGGUCACAAAGAGUCAGACAUGACUGAGAGUCUAAGCACACACGUGCACAGAGUGGGAUGAAGUAUUUAAUCACCUACUUUGCCCUUAUUCUGUCUCUACCAACUAGGCUAAAUGCUUUAUAUGUAGUUCUCUGCAGCUGCCUCCUCUCCUGAGAAACUGAGGCCCAGAGAUGGGUAGGCUUCGCAUAAGGUGUGAGUCACUUGCUUGGGGGUCACACAAAAAGGGGUUUAAGCCUCCUCUCCCAGGUCCCCUCCACUGGAAGCCUGGGAAAGGCACCACAGCGCUGCCAUGAGGACGGUGUGAGAUCGGCGUCUGUAGCGGCCAUGAAAUUAAAAGACACUUGCUCCUUGAAGAAGUAGCUAUGACAAAUCUAGAGAACAUAUUAAAAAGCAGACAUCACUUUGCCAACAAAGAUCCAUAUAGUCAAAACUAUGGUUUUUUU